GUCGAACGGCAGCACGGGUGCUUGCACCUGGUGGCGAGUGGCGAACGGGUGAGUAAUACAUCGGAACAUGUCCUGUAGUGGGGGAUAGCCCGGCGAAAGCCGGAUUAAUACCGCAUACGAUCUACGGAUGAAAGCGGGGGACCUUCGGGCCUCGCGCUAUAGGGUUGGCCGAUGGCUGAUUAGCUAGUUGGUGGGGUAAAGGCCUACCAAGGCGACGAUCAGUAGCUGGUCUGAGAGGACGACCAGCCACACUGGGACUGAGACACGGCCCAGACUCCUACGGGAGGCAGCAGUGGGGAAUUUUGGACAAUGGGCGAAAGCCUGAUCCAGCAAUGCCGCGUGUGUGAAGAAGGCCUUCGGGUUGUAAAGCACUUUUGUCCGGAAAGAAAUCCUUGGUUCUAAUAUAGCCGGGGGAUGACGGUACCGGAAGAAUAAGCACCGGCUAACUACGUGCCAGCAGCCGCGGUAAUACGUAGGGUGCGAGCGUUAAUCGGAAUUACUGGGCGUAAAGCGUGCGCAGGCGGUUUGCUAAGACCGAUGUGAAAUCCCCGGGCUCAACCUGGGAACUGCAUUGGUGACUGGCAGGCUAGAGUAUGGCAGAGGGGGGUAGAAUUCCACGUGUAGCAGUGAAAUGCGUAGAGAUGUGGAGGAAUACCGAUGGCGAAGGCAGCCCCCUGGGCCAAUACUGACGCUCAUGCACGAAAGCGUGGGGAGCAAAC
rnacentral:rRNA from 1 species